UACGGAGGGUGCAAGCGUUGUCCGGAAUCAUUGGGCGUAAAGAGUUCGUAGGUGGUAUGUUAAGUCUGGUGUUAAAGCCCGAAGCUCAACUUCGGUUCGGCACUGGAUACUGGCAAACUUGAAUGUGGUAGAGGUAAAGGGAAUUCCUGGUGUAGCGGUGAAAUGCGUAGAUAUCAGGAGGAACAUCGUUGGCGAAAGCGCUUUACUGGGCCAUUAUUGACACUGAGGAACGAAAGCCGGGGUAGCAAAUGGG
rnacentral:rRNA from 1 species